GUGAAAGAAAAUUUUUCAUCAGUCAAACUGCCAUAUUUGUGUUCAUUUCUGCGAGUCGAAACUUGUUUGAAAUGAAAUAAGGAAUGCAUACUUCUUAGGACUUCAGAGUGGUGCUGCAACAUAUCUACAGAGUUUCUGAAAGAUGUUUCAACAGUGCCGAAGGAUCGUGGAACCAGAAUAUCAUCCCCAAUGCUGAAUCUAGGUGCUGAGUUCAACUUGAACCUGUUUCGCAACUUUUAGCGGAAACAAAUAAAUACAACAUUUCUCGAUUACUUUUUCAA